AUGAGGGUGCCUCUUUCCAUAAUAUUCGAACAUAUGGGCUACUCAAGGCUUUAUGUUGUUUUUCAAUCUAAGGCACAUAAACUGUCAUUAUUUUACAUACCAAUAUCAUUGCUUCUUCCAAUUUCAAUUGAUUUUGAUUUCUUGAUUCAUGUGUGUGUAGGACAAAGAGGAGAUAAAAGGAGUAUUGGAAAGCUUAAAACCAGCCCCCCGAAACCACUCUGGCUCGAGAAAGAAGAAAAUAUUUCACAUGAUCUGUCCGAUCUACUACAGGUAAUUUGGUCUUCUCUUGUGCACAACCAUCACAACCAAGCCGGGGAGCGCCAGAGGUCACAACUUGAAAUUUUUAACUGCAAUAUUUGUUGGUCAGUAACCUCCUUUGGAAUUGUUCGUAAGGUAAUCCUUUAUUCUGUAUAG
rnacentral:rRNA from 1 species